rnacentral:rRNA from 1 species
GAUGAACGCUGGUGGCGUGCCUAAUACAUGCAAGUCGAGCGAAUGGAUUAAGAGCUUGCUCUUAUGAAGUUAGCGGCGGACGGGUGAGUAACACGUGGGUAACCUGCCCAUAAGACUGGGAUAACUCCGGGAAACCGGGGCUAAUACCGGAUAACAUUUUGAACCGCAUGGUUCGAAAUUGAAAGGCGGCUUCGGCUGUCACUUAUGGAUGGACCCGCGUCGCAUUAGCUAGUUGGUGAGGUAACGGCUCACCAAGGCAACGAUGCGUAGCCGACCUGUGAGGGUAAUCGGCCACACUGGGACUGAGACACGGCCCAGACUCCUACGGGAGGCAGCAGUAGGGAAUCUUCCGCAAUGGACGAAAGUCUGACGGAGCAACGCCGCGUGAGUGAUGAAGGCUUUCGGGUCGUAAAACUCUGUUGUUAGGGAAGAACAAGUGCUAGUUGAAUAAGCUGACACCUUGACGGUACCUAACCAGAAAGCCACGGCUAACUACGUGCCAGCAGCCGCGGUAA